ACAGGCGGAGUCACAAUGAAAUCUGUCUCCGCCCACCUCUGGGGGGCGGGGCCCGACCUCGCCGGGUGCGCGCGCAGCUCGCUGUGUGGCGGUUCCCGGUCUCCGUCGCAGGACUUUGCUUACCUGGCGGACCUGAGAGGUCGCUCUCCCGCCCCCGACCUGGACCCUCCUGCACUGCAGACCCCCCCGCAACGGGGGCCCCGGACCCCAGGACUGAGGAGGACGCAGCCAGGACUUUCCAAAAGUUGCCGCGGGGCCUUCCGAUCCCCUCGGCCAUCUUCCAAGGGUGGCCAGGCUGAUGGGGCCCGCGAGGAUUCUCCGCACCUUGACAUUCAGAAGCUGAAGGAGAAGAGGGACGUGCUGGACAAGGAGAUCUCCCAGUUAAUAUCUGAAGGCUACAGUGUGGAUGAGCUGGAGGACCACAUCUCCCAGCUCCACGAGUAUAACGACAUCAAAGAUGUGGGCCAGAUGCUGCUGGGCAAACUAGCCGUGAUCCGAGGUGUCGCCACCAAAGAGUUGUAUCCAGAAUUUGGCCUGGACAUGAGUGACUGAGCGGAGGCUCCCAGCGCCUUGUCCACGGACACUGGGACGGGCGAUGUGGCCAUGAGAAGUGUGAGAGCCCAAGCAGUGCACCUCCAGGCUUUCCAGCAAGCACGUGUCAGCAGCCCUUUUCCAGUGAGCCCGCCCGAGGCAGGAGGGAGCCCGGGGAAGCAGAAGGUGUGUUUCCAGCUCCAGGACUCCCGAGUGGUCCAGUGACACCUGUGCAUCACUCAAAGUCACCAUUCUGUUGGCAAUACAGAAGCUGUGGGACCCACACCUCCACCCCCCCACCACAGCACCUCUUAACUCCUGAGUUCUCAGCCUGGCUUAAUUAGUCCUGGCCUCCCUGUAACUGAUGCUUGCUUUCUUUAUUUCUUCCAUCCCCUUUUUGGCAUCAAACUUUACAUCGAUGUUUCUUUCUCUCUCUCUCUCCCCCUUCCUUCCACUCUCUCUAAAAAUCAAUGGGAAAAUAUCCUCGA